UUAGGUGAUCUAAGCCAGUUAUUUGCAAGUGGAAGGAACACAAACUUGUCUUCUUAAAGAAGUGGCAGCAAACUCUGCCUGAAGACUCAGAAUCACAUUCAGCCUCAUCCUUUCUGGAGCAAAGGUCUUCACAUCACACAGACUGUGCCUGCGAUGGGCAGCAUACCCGGUGUAGCCGUCCUGCAGCGAUUCCCUAUGGAUGACGCAGCCCCCGUGGGGAGCUGGCAGCCAGGGACUGGCAGAGCGCAAAGCUGACAGCCACCUUGGUCAUGCGCAAUCUCAGUGACUCCUAUGGCACAGGGCAAGAAUUUCUGAAAAAUGUAAUGGUUUUGAUCAAAUAUAAAUGGAGAGGUCUCUUAGCAGGUAUUUACUACAAGCUUACUGGUAACAUAACUGCAUACUUUUGCCUGAAGGUACCUAGCCUUAGAGGCUUAUUUGUUUGUCUAUUAGGCUGGUAUUAUUUGUAUCUGGUUUUCAUUUUUAAAAAACAUGGUAUUCAUCCAAACUGUACAGCUUUGAAAUUAGCGAAAUGUUUCCAUAUACUUCACUGGAAAAUACCACCCAAGGGUAAUUUGUUUUCAGCAGUUAUAAUUUAUUUACGGUUAUAAGGUAUUUUUAUCCAGUCGAGAUAUAGUUAAGAAAUA